UAUUGGUCCAUGGACGCGAGUCCGAAUCAGCCAAGUAGCGUGAAGGAUGACUGCCCUCUGGGUUGUAAACUUCUUUUAUAUGGGAAUAAAGUUUUCCACGUGUGGAAUUUUGUAUGUACCAUAUGAAUAAGGAUCGGCUAACUCCGUGCCACCAGACGCGGUAAUACGGAGGAUCCGAGCGUUAUCCGGAUUUAUUGGGUUUAAAGGGAGCGUAGGUGGACAGUUAAGUCAGUUUUGAAAGUUUGCGGCUCAACCGUAAAAUUGCAGUUGAUACUGGCUGUCUUGAGUACAGUAGAGGUGAGCGGAAUUCGUGGUGUAGCGGUGAAAUGCUUAGAUAUCACGAAGAACUCCGAUUGCGAAGGCAGCUCACUGGACUGCAACUGACACUGAUGCUCGAAAGUGUGGGUAUCAAACAG
rnacentral:rRNA from 1 species